rnacentral:rRNA from 1 species
UACGUAGGGGGCAAGCGUUGUCCGGAAUCAUUGGGCGUAAAGAGCGCGUAGGCGGCCCAGUAAGUACGCUCUGAAAGUCAGGGGCUCAACCCCUGGAUGCGGGUGGAUACUGCUGGGCUAGAGUCCGGAAGAGGCGAGUGGAAUUCCUGGUGUAGCGGUGAAAUGCGCAGAUAUCAGGAGGAACACCGGUGGCGAAGGCGGUGGUCUGGGCCGGCACUGACGCUGAGGAGCGAAAGCGUGGGUAGCAAACAGG